rnacentral:rRNA from 1 species
UUGAACGCUGGCGGCAUGCUUUACACAUGCAAGUCGAACGGCAGCACGGGGGCAACCCUGGUGGCGAGUGGCGAACGGGUGAGUAAUAUAUCGGAACAUGUCCGGAAGUGGGGGAUAACGUAGCGAAAGUUACGCUAAUACCGCAUAUGCCCUGAGGGGGAAAGGAGGGGAUCGCAAGACCUUUCGCUUUCGGAGUGGCCGAUAUCGGAUUAGCUAGUUGGUGAGGUAAAGGCUCACCAAGGCGACGAUCCGUAGCUGGUCUGAGAGGACGACCAGCCACACUGGAACUGAGACACGGCCCAGACUCCUACGGGAGGCAGCAGUGGGGAAUUUUGGACAAUGGGCGAAAGCCUGAUCCAGCCAUGCCGCGUGCAGGAUGAAGGCCUUCGGGUUGUAAACUGCUUUUGUACGGAACGAAAAAGUCUUCUCUAAUACAGGGGGCGAAUGACGGUACCGUAAGAAUAAGCACCGGCUAACUACGU